CCUACGGUGGCUGCAGUGGGGAAUAUUGGACAAUGGGCGAAAGCCUGAUCCAGCCAUGCCGCGUGUGUGAAGAAGGCCUUCGGGUUGUAAAGCACUUUCAGUGGGGAAGAAAGCCUUGGGGCUAAUACCCUCGAGGAAGGACAUCACCCACAGAAGAAGCACCGGCUAACUCCGUGCCAGCAGCCGCGGUAAUACGGAGGGUGCGAGCGUUAAUCGGAAUUACUGGGCGUAAAGCGCGCGUAGGCGGUCUGAUAAGCCGGUUGUGUAAGCCCCGGGCUCAACCUGGGAACGGCAUCCGGAACUGUCAGGCUAGAGUGCAGGAGAGGAAGUUAGAAUUCCCGGUGUAGCGGUGAAAUGCGUAGAGAUCGGGAGGAAUACCAGUGGCGAAGGCGGCCUUCUGGACUGACACUGACGCUGAGGUGCGAAAGCGUGGGUAGCAAACAGGAUUAGAUACCCCUGUAGUC
rnacentral:rRNA from 1 species